rnacentral:tRNA from 1 species
GCUGACGUAGCUCAAUCGGUAGAGCAGCCGCCUUGUAAGCGGCAGGUUGUGGGUUCGAGUCCCUCCGUCAGCU